AUUGAACGCUGGCGGCAGGCCUAACACAUGCAAGUCGAGCGGAGCGGCUGACGGACGAGUAAUGCCUAUGAAUCUGCCUGGUAGUGGGGGAUAACGUCCGGAAACGGGCGCUAAUACCGCAUACUAUCAGAUGAGCCUAGGUAGGAGUAGCUAGUUGGUGGGGCAAAUGCCGACCCAGGCGACGAUCCGUAACUGGUAGGAGAGGAUGAACAGUCACACUGGAACUGAGAAACGGGCCAGACGCUUACGUGAGGCAGCAGUGGGGAAUAUUGGACAAUGGGCGAAAGCCUGAUGCAGCCAUGCCGCGUGUGUGAAGAAGUUCUUCGGAUUGUAAAGCACUUUAAGUUGGGAGGCGUUACCAACAGAAUAAGCACCGGCUAACUUCGUGCCAGCCGACGCGGUAAUUC
rnacentral:rRNA from 1 species